GACGAACGCUGGCGGCGUGCUUAACACAUGCAAGUCGAACGGAAAGGCCCUGCUGUUGUGGGGUGCUCGAGUGGCGAACGGGUGAGUAACACGUGAGUAACCUGCCCUUGACUUUGGGAUAACUUCAGGAAACUGGGGCUAAUACCGGAUAGGAGCUCCUGCUGCAUGGUGGGGGUUGGAAAGUUUCGGCGGUUGGGGAUGGACUCGCGGCUUAUCAGCUUGUUGGUGGGGUAGUGGCUUACCAAGGCUUUGACGGGUAGCCGGCCUGAGAGGGUGACCGGCCACAUUGGGAGUGAGAGACGGCCGAGACUCCUACGGGAGGCAGCAGUGGGGAGUAUUGCACGAUGGGCGGAGGAAUGAUGCAGGAACGCCGCGUGCGGGAUGACGGCCUUCGGGUUGUAAACCGCUUUCGCCUGUGACGAAGAGUAAGUGACGGUAAUGGGUAAAGAAGCACCGGCUAACUACG
rnacentral:rRNA from 1 species